CCCACCUAUUAAUUCCCAUUCCCACUCCCACCCUAUAUUCCCCAAAUUCCCAUUCCCAUUUGCCAAACGCCCCGUAACUUUCUCUCUCCUCAAACUCCCAAAAAUCUCCAUAGAAGUUGCAAUUUGAAGGAUUUUCAAAUCAGCGAUUUUAGGGUUCAAAAGAUUUUAAGGCUGGAACUUUCAGCGGAUUUAGGGUUCGUAGGGUUCAAAUUUCAGCGAUUUUAGUGUUCGAAUUUCAGCGAUAUUAGGUAAUUUAAGCGCUACUCUUGAUUAUUUAUUGUUUGAUUUAUUUAUUUAUUUUUGGUUUUUUGGCGUCAUUUUAGUAGUUUUUUUCGAUUAUUUUGCUAAUACAAAUUUGUAUAGAAGGAUUUACAAUUACUCGUACAGAGGAGUUAAUUCUACAAUAUUGAAUGCAAGCAAAAAGUCAGAAGUCACAUCAUAUAAAUUUGAAAGUUGUUUUGCAGUUCGAUACAAUAAGCUUUGGUUAACAAUUUUCGAUUAUUUUGCUACCUCUGUAUUCAAUUUCUUUUAUUGAAUAGUCUGUAAUUUUUGCUACCUCUGUAAUUUUUUGCUUCAUUUAUCAGUUUUAUUGCGAUUUUUUUUUUCAGUUUUUGAUGAUUUAUUGUAUUUCUGUGCAAAAUGUGAUUUGUCUAUUAUGUUUUUGCACCUAAUUAUGUAACUUCAGAAUUUCUAAAUGAAUUAAUUCACCUAUGUGAGUUGUAAAUUA